GUAGCCGGCUAAACAUUAAUGGCGAUGAGACAUAUAGUUUUUGCAUAUUUAUACAUUUAAUUCGGAAAUAUAUUUUGCACACCAAGGCAUUUUGCUAUAUAUAGAAGCAUCCGGCAAUACAGAUGAGGCAAGAACAAUAUCAGAUCUAUCCGGUUUGUACCAAACAUCACGGAAAAGGUUCGUCUUUACUUUUCAAUCUAUUAGGGCUACAAAACACCGACAAACGGUCGGUAGGACCACAUUUAUGGAUCGUUUUAUUAUUUUCUAUAUAUAUCUACAUCUAUGAUUCCUUAAAAAAAUUUUGAAGUCGUUUAUUUAACGGAUCAAAAU
rnacentral:lncRNA from 1 species